GGUGGCACCUGCAGCAUCCUGCUCUCAGGAUCUGGCUUGGUUGGAGUCAAGGAGAAAGCUGCUGGCAUUCCCUGGGGAAGAGGGAAGCACUGAUCUCACAGCAGCACCUGGAAACGAGCAUCAAGGGACUAUGAUUUAAUGCUGGAAGAUGACACAAGUCUGCAAGCAUGAUCCUCAAACCAGACAGGUCCUGGGGAGUCCCUGUACGAAGCUGUGACCUCCCUGAUGCCAUCUCCAGAGCCAGACCUCUGUUCGACCUGCUUAGUGUUGUGUGGCUGAGCUAAAAACACAGGGACAGCCACAUGGAAAAUACCACAUUGACCUGCAUUGUAAAUGCAAUAAAAAAUAACGUGGAAAAUCUGUGCUGUAAAA